rnacentral:rRNA from 1 species
GAUGAACGCUGGCGGCGUGCCUAAUACAUGCAAGUCGAGCGAACGGACGAGAAGCUUGCUUCUCUGAUGUUAGCGGCGGACGGGUGAGUAACACGUGGAUAACCUACCUAUAAGACUGGGAUAACUUCGGGAAACCGGAGCUAAUACCGGAUAAUAUUUUGAACCGCAUGGUUCAAAAGUGAAAGACGGUCUUGCUGUCACUUAUAGAUGGAUCCGCGCUGCAUUAGCUAGUUGGUAAGGUAACGGCUUGCCAAGGCAACGAUGCAUAGCCGACCUGAGAGGGUGAUCGGCCACACUGGAGCUGAGACACGGUCCAGACUCCUACGGGAGGCAGCAGUAGGGAAUCUUCCGCAAUGGGCGAAAGCCUGACGGAGCAACGCCGCGUGAGUGAUGAAGGUCUUCGGAUCGUAAAACUCUGUUAUUAGGGAAGAACAUAUGUGUAAGUAACUGUGCACAUCUUGACGGUACCUAAUCAGAAAGCCACGGCUAACUACGUG